UACGAGGGGGGCGAGCGUUGUUCGGAAUUAUUGGGCGUAAAGGGUGCGUAGGCGGUUCGGUAAGUCUUGUGUGAAAUCUUCGGGCUCAACUCGAAGUCUGCACGAGAAACUGCCGGGCUUGAGUGUGGGAGAGGUGAGUGGAAUUUCCGGUGUAGCGGUGAAAUGCGUAGAUAUCAGGAGGAACACCAAUGGCGAAGGCAGCUCGCUGGAACGGUACUGACGCUGAGGCGCGAAAGCGUGGGGAGCGAACAGG
rnacentral:rRNA from 1 species